rnacentral:rRNA from 1 species
CCUACGGGCGGCUGCAGUGGGGAAUAUUGCACAAUGGGCGCAAGCCUGAUGCAGCCAUGCCGCGUGUGAAGAAGGCCUUCGGGUUGUAAAGCACUUUCAGCGGGGAGGAAGGCGUUAAGGUUAAUAACCUUGGCGAUUGACGUUACCCGCAGAAGAAGCACCGGCUAACUCCGUGCCAGCAGCCGCGGUAAUACGGAGGGUGCAAGCGUUAAUCGGAAUUACUGGGCGUAAAGCGCACGCAGGCGGUCUGUCAAGUCGGAUGUGAAAUCCCCGGGCUCAACCUGGGAACUGCAUUCGAAACUGGCAGGCUAGAGUCUUGUAGAGGGGGGUAGAAUUCCAGGUGUAGCGGUGAAAUGCGUAGAGAUCUGGAGGAAUACCGGUGGCGAAGGCGGCCCCCUGGACAAAGACUGACGCUCAGGUGCGAAAGCGUGGGGAGCAAACAGGAUUAGAUACCCCGGUAGUC